GGACCGGAAGCAGUUUGGCAGGAUUGCAACCACUGCCAAACCUGUCAUAACAAUUUACAACUGUGUAGGGAAUGUUAUAUCAAAGAUUUUGUGGAACAGCGGAGUCCUGGUCCACAUGGGCUGGUCGGACGGGGAGCAGCUGCUGUGUGUGCAGGAGAGCGGAGAUGUGCUCGUUUAUGACAUGUUUGGCGCCUACCAGAAGACAUUCAAUAUGGGGCAAGAAAUUAGGGACACUAAGGUCAGCAAAGCACAGCUGUUCCCAAAU